CGCUCUCUGUGAGUUGUUAGUAAUUUUAAAACAUAUUUAAAUAGGGAGUCGGACCUGCCCAGUGACUAAAAUGUUAAACGGCCGCGGUACUCUGACCGUGCAAAGGUAGCAUAAUCAUUUGCCUUUUAAUUGGAGGCUUGUAUGAAUGGUUUGACGAGAACUAAACUGUCUCUUUUUAAAUAUAUAGAAAUUAAUUUUUAGGUGAAGAAGCCUGUAUUUAAUUGAGGGACAAGAAGACCCCGUUGAGCUUUAGUGAUUUAGUAGAAAUUGAUAGGUCAUAAGUGAAAUUAGGCCUAUUACAUUACAUGAAGAUAUUUUCUGUUAAGAAUCUUUAGUUGGGGCGACUGAGGAACAUAAGAAGCUUCCUUUAAAAAUAGAAUUUUAUGAAAUCAGUUUAAAUAUGAUCCAGUAUUUACUGAUCAAAGGAAAAAGUUACCACGGGGAUAACAGCGUAAUCUCUCUGGAGAGUUCUUAUCGAAGGGGGGGUUUGCGACCUCGAUGUUGGACUAAGAUAUCCUAGAGGUGUAGAAGCUUCUAAUGGUUAGUCUGUUCGACUAUUAAAAUCUU
rnacentral:rRNA from 1 species